GUCUACAGCCAUGCCACCCUGAACAAGCCUGAUUCCAUCUGAUUUCGGAAGCUAAGCAGGAUUGGGCCUGGUAGUACUUGGAUGGGAGACCACCUAGGAAGACCAGGUGCUGUAGGCA
rnacentral:rRNA from 1 species